AGCGAACGCUGGCGGCGUGCUUAACACAUGCAAGUCGAGUGCGUAAUUUUCCCCGCCGCAAGGCGGGGAAGUGGGCGCACGGCGCACGGGUGCGUAACACGUGGGCAAUCUGCCCUCUGAUUGGGAAUAACUCGCCGAAAGGCGUGCUAAUACCGAAUAAUAUCUUUUGGCCUUCGGGCUGGGAGAUCAAAGGCCGCAAGGUCGUCAGAGGAGGAGCCCGCGCCCGAUUAGC
rnacentral:rRNA from 1 species